GAAUAUUGGACAAUGGGGGGAACACUGAUCCAGCCAUGCCGCGCGUGUGAAGAAGGCCUUUUGGUUGUAAAGCACUUUAAGCGAGGAGGAGGAGCUCUUGGUUAAUCCCCAAGAUGCUUGGACGUUACUUGCAGAAUACGCACCGGCUAACUCUGUGCAAGCAUCCGCGGUAAUCCAAAGGGUGCAAGCGUGAAUCGGAUUUACUGGGCGUAAAGCGGGCGUAGGUGGCCAAUUAAGUCAAAUGUGAAAUCCCCGAGGUUAACUUGGGAAUUGCAGUCGAUACUGGUUGGCUAGAGUAUGGGAGAGGAUGGUAGAAUUCCAGGUGUAGCGGUGAAAUGCGUAGAGAUCUGGAGGAAUACCGAUGGCGAAGGCAGCCAUCUGGCCUAAUACUGACACUGAGGUGCGAAAGCAUGGGGAGCAAACAG
rnacentral:rRNA from 1 species